GACGAACGCUGGCGGCGUGCUUAACACAUGCAAGUCGAACGAAGUGGCGAACGGGUGAGUAACGCGUAAUCAAACUGCCCUUCAGAGGGGGACAACAGUUGGAAACGACUGAUAAUACCGCAUACGGAGGGAGGGGAUUGCGUCUGAUGAGCUAGUGGGAGGGGGAACGGCCAACCAAGGCCAUGAGCAGUAGCCGGUCUUAGAGGAUGAACGGCCACAUUGGGACGGAGACAAGGCCCAGACUCCUACGGCAGGCCGCAGUGGGGAAUCUUCCGCAAUGGACGAAAGUCUGACGGAGCAACGCCGCGUGAGUGAUGACGGCCUUCGGGUUGUAAAGCUCUGUUAAUCGGGACGCGGUACCGGAAUAGAAAGCCACGGCUAACUACGUGCCAGCAGCCGCGGUAAUAC
rnacentral:rRNA from 1 species